UACGAAGGGGGCUAGCGUUGCUCGGAAUUACUGGGCGUAAAGCGCACGUAGGCGGCUUUUUAAGUCGGGGGUGAAAUCCUGGAGCUCAACUCCAGAACUGCCUUCGAUACUGGAAAGCUCGAGUCCGGGAGAGGUGAGUGGAAUUCCUGGUGCAGCGGUGAAAUGCGCAGAUAUCAGGAGGAACACCGGUGGCGAAGGCGGCAUCCUGGCCCUGUCCUGACGCUCAGGGGCGAAAGCGUGGGGAGCAAACCGG
rnacentral:rRNA from 1 species